GAUGAACGCUGGCGGCGUGCCUAAUACAUGCAAGUCGAGCGAACAGACGAGGAGCUUGCUCCUCUGACGUUAGCGGCGGACGGGUGAGUAACACGUGGAUAACCUACCUAUAAGACUGGUAUAACUUCGGGAAACCGGAGCUAAUACCGGAUAAUAUAUUGAACCGCAUGGUUCAAUAGUGAAAGACGGUUUUGCUGUCACUUAUAGAUGGAUCCGCGCCGCAUUAGCUAGUUGGUAAGGUAACGGCUUACCAAGGCAACGAUGCGUAGCCGACCUGAGAGGGUGAUCGGCCACACUGGAACUGAGACACGGUCCAGACUCCUACGGGAGGCAGCAGUAGGGAAUCUUCCGCAAUGGGCGAAAGCCUGACGGAGCAACGCCGCGUGAGUGAUGAAGGUCUUCGGAUCGUAAAACUCUGUUAUUAGGGAAGAACAAAUGUGUAAGUAACUAUGCACGUCUUGACGGUAACUAAUCAGAAAGCCACGGCUAACUACGUG
rnacentral:rRNA from 1 species